rnacentral:rRNA from 1 species
AUUGAACGCUGGCGGCAUGCCUUACACAUGCAAGUCGAACGGUAACAGGUCUUCGGAUGCUGACGAGUGGCGAACGGGUGAGUAAUACAUCGGAACGUGCCUAGUAGUGGGGGAUAACUACUCGAAAGAGUGUCUAAUACCGCAUGAGAUCUACGGAUGAAGGCAGGGGAUCGCAAGACCUUGUGCUACUAGAGCGGCCGAUGGCAGAUUAGGUAGGUGGUGGGAUAAAAGCUUACCAAGCCGACGAGCUGUAGCUGGUCUGAGAGGACGAUCAGCCACACUGGGACUGAGACACGGCCCAGACUCCUACGGGAGGCAGCAGUGGGGAAUUUUGGACAAUGGGCGCAAGCCUGAUCCAGCAAUGCCGCGUGCAGGAUGAAGGCCUUCGGAUUGUAAACUGCUUUUGUACGGAACGAAAAGCCCCGGGUUAAUACCCUGGGGUCAUGACGGUACCGUAAGAAUAAGCACCGGCUAACUACGUGCCAGCAGCCGCCGUAA